GCGCAAUACUGAACCUCCCUUGCUGAAGUCGAUGGCCACCUGCAUGAAGAUCUGAGCUUCCCCUGUAGCUACGACCUGAGUCUGUGUGAUGUGCCGGCUGGGCAGGAAGAGCAGCGCUCGUGGGGACUGGCUUGGCGUUUGACCUGGGCUGGUUGCCCAGCUAGUGCCUGGCCCUCAGCAGCUGGACAAGCUGGGCUCUCCCUGACUUCCCCUCUGUGAGGUGCAGCAUGUACUUUGCACGGCGUGUGUCCAUGCCCUCGUGGCAUUCCUGUUCUGAAUGCUGUGCUUUGUGUGCAUCUAUCUUUCGGAGCACUGGAAGGGAGUUGCAGAACUACGAGAAGCAAGGAGUUGGCAGUAAGUGCUGGUGGUGGUCUGAGAAACUUGGAGGGAUGACAGGAGUCUCGGCUCCAAAAUCUUCAGUCCAUCAUGACCUGUGUGGAUUUCAGCUCUUCUUCAGUACUGCAUGCUUUUGAGAAACAGGACCGACAAAGCUGGACUAUAUUUUUGGUAGCUGCAGUACAAAAACAUUCCUUUGUGUGUAGUAGAGCUAUUUUCCUUACUCGCUUUUCCUUUGUAAAAGAACAGCAAAUGCAGUGCAGUUUGGCUGCAGGGAGUUAUAUGACUCAUUUAGUAAGUACCGAACACAAAGAAAAAUAGUCUUUCUAUUGUAUUACAGUUUUCUCUUGUAUGUUUCUAUUGUCUCAGAUUUUAAUAGGGAAAUUAGCCAAGUAGCCUAGGCCUGAAGUGUUGUUUUGAAAGAUAACUGAGUCAUACGCUACAAAAUCUGGGUGCUCCCAUUAAAUUCAAACCUCUUUC